rnacentral:misc_RNA from 1 species
GAUGAAGAACGUAGUGAAAUGCGAUACGUAAUGUGAAUUGCAGAAUUCAGUGAAUCAUCGAGUCUUUGAACGCACAUUGCGCCCCCUGGUAUUCCGGGGGGCAUGCCUGUCCGAGCGUCAUUGCUGCCCUCAAGCACGGCUUGUGUGUUGGGCCUCCGUCCUCCUCCCGGGGGACGGGCCCGAAAGGCAGCGGCGGCACCGCGUCCGGUCCUCGAGCGUAUGGGGCUUCGUCACCCGCUCUUGUAGGCCCGGCCGGCGCUUGCCGACACAUCAAUCUUUUUUCCAGGUUGACCUCGGAUCAGAUAGGGAUACCCGCUGAACUUAAGCAUAUCAAUAAGCGGAGGA